rnacentral:rRNA from 1 species
UACGUAGGGGGCAAGCGUUGUCCGGAAUCAUUGGGCGUAAAGAGCGUGUAGGCGGCCCGAUAAGUCCGCUGUGAAAGUCCAGGGCUCAACCCUGGAAUGCCGGUGGAUACUGUCGGGCUCGAAUCCGGAAGAGGUGAGUGGAAUUCCUGGUGUAGCGGUGAAAUGCGUAGAUAUCUGGAGGAACACCGGUGGCGAAGGCGGCAUCCUGGACCGACACUGACGCUGAGGAGCGAAAGCCAGGGGAGCAAACGGG